GGGCCCGCACAAGCGGUGGAGUAUGUGGUUUAAUUCGAUGCAACGCGAAGAACCUUACCAGGGUUUGACAUCCAGAGAAGCCAGCGGAGACGCAGGUGUGCCUUCGGGAGCUCUGAGACAGGUGCUGCAUGGCUGUCGUCAGCUCGUGUUGUGAAAUGUUGGGUUAAGUCCCGCAACGAGCGCAACCCACGUCUUUAGUUGCCAUCAUUAAGUUGGGCACUCUGAAAGAACUGCCAGUGAUAAGCUGGAGGAAGGUGGGGAUGACGUCAAGUCAUCAUGCCCCUUACAUCCUGGGCUACACACGUACUACAAUGCUACGGACAAAGGGCAGCAAGUUCGCGAGGACAAGCAAAUCCCAUAAACCGUGGCUCAGUUCAGAUCGUAGGCUGCAACUCGCCUACGUGAAGGCGGAAUCGCUAGUAAUCG
rnacentral:rRNA from 1 species